AUUUUUUUUGCUAUGCAUAUCCAUUGACAAAUUUCUCAAAAAAUACUCUCUACUACUUAAUCCGUAGGUGAGGAAUGCGCGAUCCCAUCGCGCUCCUCCUCCGGAUCGCGACCCGCAGUUAGCGAGAAAAUAACGGCGCCCCCCAAUCCCCGGUUGUUGCGUCCCCUUCCUCCGCAUCCAACCUCGCGCCGCCCCCACAUCGCCGCGCCCCAUCCUCCUCGCCGCACCAUGCCUCCACUGCCGGCGCCCCCUUCCUCCGCAUUCAACCUCGCGCGCUCCCCAUCUCGUGCGCACUCCCAGAGAUUAAAGGAGUGUAGGAGGAUCUGAUAAAAAGUGGAGCUAUUUUCAUUGCGACGAAGUUGGUAAAAGGAAGCCUGGCAAGAUCAAAUCAAAUGGGAAAGGACGAAGGGCGAAGGCUGUCGCAAUUUCCCCCAAGCUCGCAAACUUGAGCUGGUCAGAAACCAGUACUGAGAAUUCAGCUUUUCAUUUAUCACUAUUUACAUAUGCUAGUAAGGUGCCCAUGCGUUGAAAUGGGAAAUGCUAUAUAUCAAUUUCAAAUUAUGUUAAGUGAAUAGAUAUCAAAUAUUCAUUGAGUGAAAAUUUGUUGAACACAUAUGCAGAUUAAUUUCAAAACAGAAAUAUGUUUUCAUUACAUAAGCAUAAUGAAAGCUUUCUGCGGCAUGAAACAAUCUCAUGGUGUUUAUUAAAUUAUAAAAAGACAACAUAGAUAGAAGACUGCUAUGAAAAUUUAAGAGAGAAUCCCUUAUAUGCCACUGAAAAUUUGUCUGAUCCCUUGGAUGCCACUGAAAAUAAGCUCUUCACUUAUAUGCCAUUGGUUCAAAUUUUCGCUCCCUCUCAUGCCACUGCCAUCCGUUGACUGGUAGUUGACUGUUAACUGUAGAGUGAAAUGACGUAUUUGCCCUUCUUGAGUUGAUAGGCAUGCAGUAGGUGUUAGUAUGUCAGUUAUAUACUACAUUUUAGCUAGGCAUCACAUAUAUUUGGAAUAAAUGAAUAUAUGAAUGUAUAGCAUUAAUCUAUAUAUUGAAUAUAUGAAUAUUUUUCAGUCACAUAAUUUUGAGGCACAUAUUUCUCUGUUUUUCAUAGUAGAACAAAGCAAUCUGUUAUGGCAUUAAUGUAUUUUUCACAUACAUUAACCAUGUACUUCUCGAACAAAAGCUUCAACAAUAUUUACUAGGGAGCACAACAUUUCUCUGUUUUUCACAGUAUCGACAAAACAUUCAAGUAAUAUAAUAGAUUGCUUCUGACAGACAUUUAAGAUAAUGUGUAAUUGCACAUUGUUUGUAAUGCACGGCUAAACAGCUAAAAUAACAAACAGAUUGUUUGCUAGAGGAAGGAGAUAUACACAGUAGCACAGAAUAUGCAACAAAUAUUAUAGGGAGCUGUUUAAAUGACCAGAGAGUACCAAAAUGCAUACUGACACAGUACCAAAAUACAUGUUCAGGCUUACUGACAUGGUGCAUCAGAGGGAUGUUGGGCUUGGCCCACUUGGACAAUUGGGCCAUAUUCUCAUGUUUGGGCCAAAGGGUAUUUUUGUCAUUUCAGUAAAAAAACUGACAAGUGAUUACAUCCUAUCAACAGUCAACUACCAGUCAACGGACGGCAAUGGCAUGAGAGGGAGCGAAAAUUUGAACCAAUGGCAUAUAAGGGAAGAGCCAAUUUUCAGUGGCAUUCAAGGGAUCAGACAAAUUUUCAGUGGCAUAUAAGGGAUUUUCCCAAAAUUUAAUGAUGUCAUACAAAUUAAAGCACAAACAAAAAAUCUAGAACAACAAGUAUUUCCAGAUAUUGUAUUUUUCAUUGAUAACAAUUAUGAUUUGUAGUUUCUUUGGAUUGCCA